GUGGGGAAUAUUGGACAAUGGGGGCAACCCUGAUCCAGCCAUGCCGCGUGUGUGAAGAAGGCCUUCGGGUUGUAAAGCACUUUAAGCGGGGAGGAAGGUUCGCUGGCUAAUAUCCAGCGGAAUUGACGUUACCUGCAGAAUAAGCACCGGCUAACUCUGUGCCAGCAGCCGCGGUAAUACAGAGGGUGCAAGCGUUAAUCGGAAUUACUGGGCGUAAAGCGCGCGUAGGCGGUUGUGUAAGUUGGAGGUGAAAUCCCCGGGCUUAACCUGGGCACUGCCUUCAAAACUGCACGGCUAGAGUAUGGGAGAGGAAGGUAGAAUUCCAGGUGUAGCGGUGAAAUGCGUAGAGAUCUGGAGGAAUACCGAUGGCGAAGGCAGCCUUCUGGGAUAACACUGACGCUCAGGCACGAAAGCGUGGGGAGCAAACAGGAUUAGAAACCCGAGUAGUCC
rnacentral:rRNA from 1 species